rnacentral:lncRNA from 8 species
UAUAAAAACUGUACAGUUUACUAGUUAUUAUCAAAUAAAUGUAACGUUUGGUUCCUCCUUAUGUAGUUUAAUAAAUGUUCUUCUUAUUAAGUUGUCCGAUUUCGAGGAUCUGAGGGUGGAAGCUGUUGUCCUCAUCUUGAAGAAAAAUGGAGAACAAAAGGAGGUGCAGCACCUGGCCACCAGUGGAGAGCAACAGUUUGUCAUGCCAACUGGAGUUGUUGGUCUUUCCUUUGCAGGAUUAAACACUACUGGGCCACAGGAGGGUGGGAGGAGCCCAGCAGAUCUAGUUCAGGUGGUUGAAGACGUCUACAAUUCUACAUGUAGUAUGUUUAUGUUUAAAGUGAUUUCCUUUCUCACAAUAGCAAACAGCAGAUACAUUUAGUCACAUAAAUAGAUUGCAGAUACAUGUAGUCACUUCAAUAAAUUACAGAUACAUGUGGUCACAUCAAUAGAUUGCAGAUACAUUAGUCACAUCAAUAGAGUACAGACAAAAUUUAAUUUUGUUGUUUAGUGUUACCUGU